CCUACGAGAGGCAGCAGUGGGGAAUAUUGCACAAUGGGGGAAACCCUGAUGCAGCAACGCCGCGUGAGUGAAGAAGUCAUUCGUGAUGUAAAGCUCUAUCAGCAGGGAAGAAAAUGACGGUACCUGACUAAGAAGCCCCGGCUAACUACGUGCCAGCAGCCGCGGUAAUACGUAGGGGGCGAGCGUUAUCCGGAUUCACUGGGUGUAAAGGGAGCGUAGACGGCCAUGCAAGCCAGGGGUGAAAGCCCGGGGCCCAACCCCGGGACUGCCCUUGGAACUGCAUGGCUGGAGUGCGGGAGGGGCAGGCGGAAGGCCUGGGGGAGCGGUGAAAGGCGUAGAGAUCAGGAGGAACAGCGGCGGCGAAGGCGGCCGGCUGGACUGCGACUGACGUUGAGGCGCGAAGGCGUGGGGAGCGAACAGGAUUAGAUACCCUGGUAGUG
rnacentral:rRNA from 1 species